rnacentral:rRNA from 1 species
AUUGAACGCUGGCGGCAUGCCUUACACAUGCGAGUCGAACGGCAGCACGGGUGCUUGCACCUGGUGGCGAGUGGCGAACGGGUGAGUAAUACAUCGGAACAUGUCCUGUAGUGGGGGAUAGCCCGGCGAAAGCCGGAUUAAUACCGCAUACGAUCCACGGAUGAAAGCGGGGGACCUUCGGGCCUCGCGCUAUAGGGUUGGCCGAUGGCUGAUUAGCUAGUUGGUGGGGUAAAGGCCUACCAAGGCGACGAUCAGUAGCUGGUCUGAGAGGACGACCAGCCACACUGGGACUGAGACACGGCCCAGACUCCUACGGGAGGCAGCAGUGGGGAAUUUUGGACAAUGGGCGAAAGCCUGAUCCAGCAAUGCCGCGUGUGUGAAGAAGGCCUUCGGGUUGUAAAGCACUUUUGUCCGGAAAGAAAUCCUUGGCUCUAAUACAGUCGGGGGAUGACGGUACCGGAAGAAUAAGCACCGGCUAACUACGUG